rnacentral:rRNA from 1 species
GAGUGGACUCCUACGGGAGGCAGCAGUGGGGAAUAUUGGACAAUGGGGGCAACCCUGAUCCAGCAAUUCUGUGUGCACGAUGAAGGUUUUCGGAUUGUAAAGUGCUUUCAGCAGGGAAGAAGGAAGUGACGGUACCUGCAGAAGAAGCGACGGCUAAAUACGUGCCAGCAGCCGCGGUAAUACGUAUGUCGCAAGCGUUAUCCGGAAUUAUUGGGCAUAAAGGGCAUCUAGGCGGCCAGGCAAGUCUGGGGUGAAAACUUGCGGCUCAACCGCAAGCCUGCCCUGGAAACUGCCUGGCUAGAGUGCUGGAGAGGUGGACGGAACUGCACGAGUAGAGGUGAAAUUCGUAGAUAUGUGCAGGAAUGCCGAUGAUGAAGAUAGUUCACUGGACGGCAACUGACGCUGAAGUGCGAAAGCUGGGGGAGCGAACAGGAUUAGAUACCCUUGUAGUCCUAUC